rnacentral:rRNA from 1 species
CAAUAGCGUAUAAUAAAGUUGUUGCAGUUAAAAAGCUCGUAGUUGGAUUUCUGGUGGGAGCGAUCGGUCUGGCGCUUAGCGCGAGUACUUGCAUCGUCUCCGGCCAUCCUUGGGGAGAGUCUGUCUGGCAUUAGGUUGUCGGGCAGAGGAUCCUCAUCGUUUACUGUGAAAAAAUUAGAGUGUUCAAAGCAGGCUUAUGCCGUUGAAUAUAUUAGCAUGGAAUAAUAAGAUAGGACUUUGGUACUAUUUUGUUGGUUUGCGCACCAAAGUAAUGAUUAAUAGGGACAGUUGGGGGUAUUCGUAUUCCGUUGUCAGAGGUGAAAUUCUUGGAUUUACGGAAGACGAACUACUGCGAAAGCAUUUACCAAGGAUGUUUUCAUUAA